CUACGUCGCUCUCUACCUGGUCACCGUGAGGCCGAUCUGUCCGCCAUGGACUCCGUUGGGCCAUUCUCCUCUCUGUUGGCGGCCUGAAGUUCUCUAGAGCGGCUGCUGCCUAACAAUACCACGUCGGGCAGGAGAGCGGCCACGAUGCCUCCCUUUUUCCUCUCUUCCUCCCCACCAACCACCGAUUGAUGCCGUUGCGCAGCGCCGGCUCCGCUGUCAUGCUCAACAUCGUCUAGCCCGUCACUACUGAUUAGAAGACAGUGAUGGGUAUUACAUGGUUGAUUCAUAGAUUCAGCUACCUGCACUUGAGUAUUAACUUGGACAGUUACUGGUUGAUGCGAAUUGGAUUAGUUAAUCGAGCAUAUACACUGUUGUUGAUUGGAAAUGUUUCUUACAUUUUCAUAGGUACAAUUCAUGUCGAUCCAUUUGCAUCCACUACUAUCUUUUAAGAACUCCACUUUAUAAUAGUUACAUUCUACAGCGUGAAUCUCUAUAUUUGCAUGAAAUAGAUGUGAAUCUGUAUGGAGGAUGCAGUAACUGUAUGGCGCAGAAUUGAGUUGCCGGUUCUGAUUGUUUUGUUGAAGCUGCAUUUACUGAAUGAUGGUCUAUAAUCUUGCUUAUUUAUAUUGAGGGAAACAAGCCAUCAACUACAAACUGGAAGGGAACUUCUGUUAUGUUCUCCGAAUUGCUAUAAGUAUAGAUCUGUUCGUGCGGACAACCUUUGAAGUUCAGGGCUCGACGACCAAAUUGCUAUCAGUAUAGAUCUGUCCGUUCGGUCAACCUUUGCAGUUCAGGGCUCGAUGACCGAAUUGCUAUAAGUAUAGAUCUUUCUGUGUGUCCAACCUUUGAACUUCAGGGCUUGACGACGCCGGGCACGAUAGCACAUGAUCUUUUUUUUUUCUUAUGUACCAAUGGUUAUUGACAGAUUUGAGGUCGUGGCUUUCUUAUUCCAGCAUUAUAUCCUUUAGUUAUCUGGCGAUGUAGCACUUGAUUUCGAAAAUUAAAGCUUAGCAACUUCAUAAUUUUGAACCACGGUGGUGAACUAAGAUAUCUAUCUUUGCCUUAUAAUGUUAACCUGUAUAUGCAGGGUACUAAUGUUUAUGAUAUCAAUGAGUAUCUAGAUUCUCUGGCGGGACUAUGAUGUAACUUUAGGUAUGUACAAGUAUAAUCUUCCGAAUGUGCUUUUCAUGAUUAUUUACUACAGUCUACAGAGUUUUCCUGUUUGGUAUAAUAUAUGCAUCACCAUUCGGGUUUUGUUUUUGUUUUUAGGACGUAAUGUUUAAAUUAUACUUCAGUUCCACUUUCAUGACCAAUUUGAGAUGUAUUCUUCAGGUGGUAUAGUGAAAUUAGUCAGCCCUGCAACUGAGUUAUUAAACAGGUUAUUCUUAUGUCACUCCUGGAACUGUGCAACCAAACCAACUUAUAUACUGCUCCCUUAGAAUUAAUUCGUCACGAUUGUAUUUUCUUUUCAUUUGGAUCUAGAAAAAGACGAUAUCUUAUUUUUUAGGUUCGUGCAAAUUUAUCCUAUAUAAACUUAUACUGGAUGUACUUAUGUGUCAUGUGAAUGAUCCAUGGCACAAAAUAGCUUUACGGUUCACUGAAUUUUUUGUGAGAUUGGCGCUAGACUGUCUAAAGAAACCUUUGAAAACAAAUUGAAAAGGAGACAUGAAUUUCACAAAAGGUUCAUCAGUGCUGCACCCAUUAUACAGCUGAAGUUAACAUAUUGAGGUGGCGACAGUUCUUGAGUUCGAUUCGUUUUACCUUAGAUGCUGUCAUUGUCUGCUCAAAUAGUGAGUACCAAAAAUAUUCUUUCUUUUCUUGGUCAAAGGAAAUUGCAUGAUUGCCUAUUUGGAUUAGCUAGGUAAAGAUUGUUGGGUCGAUCAUAUUUCUUUGGCCAUGCUGAAAUUGAUGGCACACAAGGUGCACAUGCCAAGCAUCUUGCUUGAGCUUUCUAUGCAAAGUUAUAUCUUCUGCUAAAGUUCUGAGAUAUUCUAAUGUGUUCUUGAGAUGUGCUAGCUGUAAUUUUUGGGCUUAAUUUGUAGUCUAGGAUGAUACACCUUCGAUUAAGACUGGACAAUUGUCAAGAGUUCGAUCAGGUGCUGCUCAUCAUCUCCUAGCCAUUUCGUCUAUGAAUAUAUACACAGAUGGAUAAUAAUCUCCUAGCUACUGUUGCUCUUAAUUUCUAUGCUAGACUGACAAUGUCAUUGCUGCUUUUUUAUUUUUGAGUGUUAAGAAAUUCUCAGGUAACGCUAUUUAUGAAUCUUUUUUUGUAUCAAGAAAAGUUUCAGGGCACAAAAUAUGUCUUUAUGGCUCCUGAAUUUUUUUUGUUUUUGAAUAUUUUCCGUUAGCAUACAACAGGCUAAUACUUGAUGCUCAAAUUAUGCAGUUUCGUACAGUCAAAUUAUGCAGCUUCGUACAGUCAACCUUUACCUUAGUGUCUUAAGGAUUAUCAAAACAGCUAAUAUUCUUAUUGUGAAGAUUUAUAUAAAAGGGUAUGGUCUCUGUUCUUCAUUAAUAAAACAUAACCAUUUAUACUAACAUGUAUUUAAUCUCAUAAAAUCUUGACUGCUAUCUGCUAUACUGUUCAUUUAGGCCUUGAGUUUGGAUGGAUUUUGUCUUUCUCCAAGUUUGUGGUUAUAAACCUAGAUCCUAUAAGCCGCCAAGUAAGGGCACUUGCUUAUUUUUGGGUUCAUGGUCUGCUGGACCAUUAAGGACUUCCCUCUCAUAACUUCUACAAGCCUAACUGGUGCCUUCCAGAUCUGAUCCACACAACAUCCUUUUGAUCUUACUUCUCUGCAAAUGGUAUUUGAUGCAGCUAUCAUUUUUGUUAAAUUGUUGUUUUUUCUGCACCGGAUAGUAGCGAGGUACACUCAUUGCACCAAAAGAUACAGAAAAAAUCCCUAAUUCUUAAAGCCCUUAUAGAGAUCGAUGAGUAGAACAUCGGAUAUAUAAGGUACAUUUGUGCUGAAAAUUCGUUUCGGGAUACUGUUCUUGAGGACAUGGUAUUCCUAUUUUGGUGAUGGAAUGCUCAUCAUUAUUUUUCUGUGCAACUAAGUUGGAACAGACUCUUUUGAAAUUUACAAGAAUUAAUUCCAUUUAUAUUUCUUGGCCUUUGGGUGAGUUUGUUUCAUACAAGAAACUUCAUUCUGGGUUGUGGUUUGGCACAAAUUGUUUUCUUGCUCAUUCACAAGUCAGCAUGCUAGGUGAUUCUAAGUUAUUGCUGAUAUUGGAAGAUUUACUCAAGCUAUUGUACAAUCGUGCACUUAUAUGAUGUUGCAGUAUUUUUUGUCAAGAGCUACUAAACUUGCGUCUUAUUUUACGAGGUGCUGAGUUCUUCCUUGGAUGGGAUUGGCACCCAGCAGUUUAGCACUAGCCAGAAAGUUUUGGCGGGACAGUAUUCUUAAUGAGGGCGGCUUCGGAUUAUCUGAACACGAAACAACGACGACAGAAGACUACACUGCCUUUCCGAUGCUGGCACUAGCUUUCUUUCAAUUGCUUUGGGCAGAGCUUGCUCCAGUUCCAGCUCUCCCCGUAUCAAGCAAAGAACUCGAUCAUCAUCAUUUUGUCUGCCGGCGAAUAUAACAAUGCCAACCACUGACAGUUUGAAGACAGGGGAACACCGAGACCAUCCGCCUUAGCAUGCUAAAAAUUUAUAUUCUUGCUAAUUAGUUGAAGUAUACAGUUCAGGAGAUACUGCUUAGGCAACUCAAUCCUAUCUGCUAUCAAUGAGAAAGAAUGUAUGAAUGUUAGUGUCUCUAGCCAAUACUCUCUACGUGGAUCUAUCUUACCAACUAUGUACUCAACUAGGAAUAUAUAAAUUAGUAACAAGUUUAAAAUUA